UACGGAGGGUGCGAGCGUUGUCCGGAAUCACUGGGCGUAAAGGGCGCGUAGGUGGCCUGUGGAAGCCUGUGGUGAAAGCCCGGCGCUCAACGCCGGGUCGGCCGUGGAUACUCUCGGGCUUGAGCUCACUAGAGGCAGAUGGAAUUCCGGGUGUAGCGGUGGAAUGCGUAGAUAUCUGGAGGAACACCGGUGGCGAAGGCGACGUCCUGGACCGGCAUUGACGCUGAGGCGCGAAAGCCAGGGGAGCAAACGGG
rnacentral:rRNA from 1 species